rnacentral:misc_RNA from 1 species
GACACAUCACACUCAGCAGGAACCCAGUCUUGGCCAAAGGCGUCCCCCUCCGCUGAAUAUCUGGCAUCACUAUAACCACCAAUCUUGACGUUGCUGCCAUUGAAAAGGGACCAGCACGUGCUUCCAGCAACACCAUUCUCGUUCCCAACCCACCUUGUAUCAGGACCAACAUCAGAGAAAAUUGAAGCUCCAGGUUGGAGUUGAUGAAUAAGGCUAAACCAAUCAUCAAAGAAAUACUCCAUAUCCUUCUCGCCAUCACCUUUUGCACCAUCUAAAAAAACAUAUUUAAUCUCUCCAUAUCUUGUAAGCAACUCAGUCAUUUGACCCAUAUAGUAUUCAUUAUACUCAAGAGUUUCCCCAUAACAAUGCUCAUGCCUAUCCCAUGGAGAAAGAUACAAACCCAAUUCUAAUCCCCCAUUUCUUGCAGCUUCAGCCAAAUCAGCUACAAUAUCACCAACCCCAUUUCUCCAAGGACUUGAUUUAACAGAAUAAUCAGUGUAUUUUGAAGGCCAGAGACAGAAUCCAUCAUGAUGCUUAGCAGUUAAAACUACUCUUUUGAAACCAAAAUCUUUAGCUACUGUAACCCAUUGUGUUGCAUUUAACAAUUUGGGGUUAAAAAUUGAUGGGUCAACAUGACCUGUACCCCAUUCUGAAUCUGUAAAAGUGUUGGUACCAAAGUGAAGGAAAAGGGCCAUUUCUGCAAUUUGCCAUGAGAUUUGACGGGAUUUUGGGAUUGGUAGAAUUGGGAGUGGAGGUGGCUUUCGAUGUGAAGAUGUUGAAAGUUGAAAUAACAAGAGGAUAAUGAUUGUUUUGAGAAAUUGUGUAAUGGGUUUCUUCUUUAUCAUCUUGGGGUUGCCGUUAACCUUUUUUUUUCGCCGGCGAUCACUCUAAAGCUGCCGGAGAGAGGUGGAGUUUACCGGUGACUCCAAGUGUUGACUG